rnacentral:rRNA from 1 species
UCAAACUGGCUACUGUACUGGCUGGUGAAUGGCUCGGCUCGAGAGCCGACGACGGACGUGCCAAGCUGCGAAAAGCCCGAGGGAGUCGCACGGAGACUAAGAACUCGGGAUCUCCGAAUGGGAAUCCCC